UUACUUAUGCGCGUCCCAAUUAAUCAAUGCUGUCGGCCAGUUUUCCAAAAGUAGCCGAAAGUGUCUGCCUUUAGUCAAAAGUAGUUACUGUUUACUUUUACUUUUACUUUCCCUUUUACUUAAGUAACAUGUUUUCACUUAAGUAAAAUGUUUUUAUUUUACCCCAGUCAUUGUAACAGUUCUCUUUCCUUGGAUUAAAUCAAAAGUUCUUUAUCAUUCUAUGUAUAUUAAACAGUUUAUUCAAAUCUCUGAUUGGGGAAAAAAUCCCUCCGAUCUCAUGAACCUUUCUAGUCAAGAUCAUCAAUUUUGCUAUUAUGAUUACAUUGAAGCCUGGUAUAAGGUCCUCCUUCACCAGAAUGAGUCCCUCAGUCAUUCAUGGUUUAUACAAUUUGACCAUAAAUUCAA
rnacentral:lncRNA from 1 species